rnacentral:rRNA from 1 species
GACGAACGCUGGCGGCGUGCUUAACACAUGCAAGUCGAACGGAAAGGCCCUGCUUUUGUGGGGUGCUCGAGUGGCGAACGGGUGAGUAACACGUGAGUAACCUGCCCUUGACUUUGGGAUAUCUUCAUGAAACUGGGGCUAAUCCCGGCUAGGAGCUCCUGCUGCAUGGUGGGGGUUGGAAAGUUUCGGCGGUUGGGGAUGGACUCGCGGCUUAUCAGCUUGUUGGGUGGGUAGUGGCUUACCAAGGCUUUGACGGGUAGCCGGCCUGAGAGGGUGACCGGCCACAUUAGGACUGAGAUACGGCCCAGACUCCUACGGUAGGCAGCAGUGGAGAGUAUUGCACAGUGGGCGGAAGGCUGGUGCAACACCGCCGCGUGGGGUGAGAGGUGCAGCGGGUAGUGAUGCGCAGCCGCCUGUGACGAGGCGUGAGUGACGGUAAUGGGUGAAGAAGCACCGGCUAACUACGUG